GGAUGUAUGGCGCAAUGGUAGCGCGUCUGACUCCAGAUUAGAAGGUUUCGUUUU
rnacentral:tRNA from 1 species